rnacentral:lncRNA from 1 species
GAGAAUUUGGCUUAAUCUGCAGAGGAUAUGGAGCUCUGCUUUGCAACCGACUUAAAGGCUUUCUGUAUUCAAAUUCAGCUUUGUGAAUACCAGUUUGGAAGCCAGGAAAAUCACCACCAGAAUCCUCCAUUGUUGUCACUCUUUGAUACCUUAAAUCUUCUUAUGUAAGUACCCUCUGCAGGUUUAUCUAAGAAAGAGCUAUUUAAGUAUUUGAUAAAAAAAAAUUUUUUUUUAAAAUGGUUAUGGUAGAACUUACGCAAUUUUAUGUUAUUGCUUCUUGGCAUUUGCUGAUGUUGAAUUGUGGCCCAAUCACUUAAUGGCACGUCUUGUGCAGAUUGUAUACUGAGAAUCAGCUUAUAA